CCCAGCUGUAGGCAACUGCCUAAGUUGCCGCAUACCUAGGCAAGUGUUACAUUGCUGGGAGAAAAGCAGCCAAGGUUGGUGGGUAUUCUUGGCCUGGUUAAUGCCAAAUU
ensembl:snoRNA SNORA74 Small nucleolar RNA SNORA74